AGGGGAAGGCUACAAAAAGCUAACUCAGAGGUUUAAACUGUCAGUUUCAACUGUAAGGAAUGGAAUCAGGAAAUGGAAGGCCACAGGCACAGUUGCUGUUAAACCCAGCAGGUC